rnacentral:rRNA from 1 species
GGCAGCAGUUCGGAAUGAGCGACAAUGCGCGCAAGCAGAAUGUGUUCAUAUCGUAAAAGUGAGGAAGACGGGAGGGUCGUAAAGCAGAGUAACCUGUGAUGCUAAUGCCAGUCGCAGGUAAAGAAACACGGCUAAAUUCGUGCCCAGCAGCGGCGUAAAUAGGGAGUGGCAAGCGUUGUCUGGAAAUAUUGGGCGUAAAAGCGCAGCUAGGGGGAUUGGAAGUUAUGGGGUGAAAUCCCAGGGUUCACCGUGGAGGGUCCUUGGAAAACUUCCAGUUUAGAGCAGAAGAGGAAAGAGGAAAUUCAGAGUGUAGAGGAAAAUUGUAGAGAUAUUCGGGAACACACACAGUGGAGAAGGCGGCUCACUGGCGUAAUAGAGACGGUGGGGUGAAAAAGUGGGGGGAGCAAACAGGAUUAGAUACCGGUAUUGUCCACACCGUAAACGAUGAAUGCCAGUCGCCGGCGAGCAUGCCCGUCGGUGACGCACCUAACGGAUUAAGCAUUCCGCCUGGGGAGUACGGUCGCAAGAUUGAAACUCAAAGGAAUUGACGG